AGCGACCCGGCCUGGCCGACUCGGUGCGCGGCUUGGUCCAGUUCAACGUCACGCAGCGCGGCCGGCCGGCCGCCGGCUGGGUGCUGGACCUGACCUCAGCGCCGGGCCGGGUUAGCCGCGGCACGGCCGCCGCUCCGGUCGUGACCGUGACCGCUGACGACGCCCACCUGGUGGAGCUGUUUUCCGGACGACUGGAGCCCUCCACUGCCCGAGCCCAGGGCAAGCUCAAGGUUGCCGGCAACCCGGCCCUGCUUGGAGCGUUGAGGGGUCUGUUCGGAACCGGCUCACGGGUGUAGCAGCCGCUGCUUUCCACCGGUCACGUGAAGCAACCCAGGCUGGCUGCGGUUGGUCACAUGGCGCCGGCCAGCGAACGACCCGGCCGUGAGGUUCGAUACAGUGUGGGACUGUCAUCAAAUGCCGGAGUAUGUUAUGCAGGAAGAGACGUUUAUCCGGUUGAUUGUUGGAGCACGCGUAUGCUAGGGAUUCUAGUGGUCGCCGGUCACUUCUGGUUGUCUUGUUAUCAUGAGCGGCAAUAUUUGAUUGGUAUCGCAGUGUUGUAUGUCGGUGGCUUCCCCGCAAGUACCUGCACAGAACCUGAUGACAGGCCGGUGCCCCUGUUCAGUAGUCACUGCUGAACAGGGUAUCCACCAAUGCUUGCGUGCACUACCGAGAUCAUUUGCCGCCAUAUUGUAAACGACGUGGAAUGCGACGUGGGAGGGUAUGCGUAUGGGAUACAGCUCGUGAAAUAUAUAUCUGGUGAACUCA